CCCAUUGAAUUGAUGGAAUCAUCUAUAAUUGGAAUGACUUAGAGAAGAAUAGCAUGGCCCCCACUCAAGGACGACAUGCAAAUGUGUGAAAUGCUCCAUAUUUUU